CACAGGCCUGUACAGAUCUGAUCUCCCAUCAUAAACAGCUAACAGUGGGUCUUCCUCCCGAGCCCAGAGAGAAGGUCAUCACAGUUCCUCUUCCUCCCGAGGAACUGAUUAGCCUGAUCUAUGAGGCCAGUGGACAAGACAUCAGCAUUGCAGUACUCACACAGGAGAUCAUGGCGUAUCUGGCCAUGUAU